rnacentral:rRNA from 1 species
GACGAACGCUGGCGGCGUGCUUAACACAUGCAAGUCGAACGCUGAAGCUUGGUGCUUGCACUGGGUGGAUGAGUGGCGAACGGGUGAGUAAUACGUGAGUAACCUGCCCUUGACUCUGGGAUAACCCUGGGAAACUGGGUCUAAUACUGGAUAUGACAUGCCACUGCAUGGUGGUGUGUGGAAAGGGUUUUACUGGUUUUGGAUGGGCUCACGGCCUAUCAGCUUGUUGGUGGGGUAAUGGCCUACCAAGGCGACGACGGGUAGCCGGCCUGAGAGGGUGACCGGCCACACUGGGACUGAGACACGGCCCAGACUCCUACGGGAGGCAGCAGUGGGGAAUAUUGCACAAUGGGCGGAAGCCUGAUGCAGCGACGCCGCGUGAGGGAUGACGGCCUUCGGGUUGUAAACCUCUUUCAGCACGGAAGAAGCGAGAGUGACGGUACGUGCAGAAGAAGCGCCGGCUAACUACGUG